GACGAACGCUGGCGGCGUGCUUAACACAUGCAAGUCGAACGAUGACGACCGAGCUUGCUCGGUCUGAUUAGUGGCGAACGGGUGAGUAACACGUGAGCAACCUGCCCUUCACUCUGGGAUAACCUCGGGAAAUCGGGGCUAAUACCGGAUAUGAGCUCCUGUCGCAUGGCGGGUGUUGGAAAGUUUUUCGGUGAAGGAUGGGCUCGCGGCCUAUCAGUUUGUUGGUGAGGUAGUGGCUCACCAAGGCGAUGACGGGUAGCCGGCCUGAGAGGGCGACCGGCCACACUGGGACUGAGACACGGCCCAGACUCCUACGGGAGGCAGCAGUGGGGAAUAUUGCACAAUGGGUGAAAGCCUGAUGCAGCGACGCCGCGUGAGGGAUGACGGCCUUCGGGUUGUAAACCUCUUUCAGCAGGGAAGAAGCGAAAGUGACGGUACCUGCAGAAGAAGCGCCGGCUAACUACGUG
rnacentral:rRNA from 1 species